rnacentral:rRNA from 1 species
GACGAACGCUGGCGGCGUGCUUAACACAUGCAAGUCGAACGGAAAGGCCCCGCUUUUGUGGGGUGCUCGAGUGGCGAACGGGUGCGUAACACGUGAGUAACCUGCCCUUGACUUUGGGAUAACUUCAGGAAACUGGGGCUAAUCCCGGAUAGGAGCUCCUGCUGCAUGGUGGGGGUUGGAAAGUUUCGGCGGUUGGGGAUGGACUCGCGGCUUAUCAGCUUGCUGGUGGGGUAGUGGCUUACCAAGGCUUUGACGGGUAGCCGGCCUGAGAGGGUGACCGGCCACAUUGGGACUGAGAUACGGCCCAGACUCCUACGGGAGGCAGCAGUGGGGAAUAUUGCACAAUGGGCGGAAGCCUGAUGCAGCAACGCCGCGUGCGGGAUGACGGCCUUCGGGUUGUAAACCGCUUUCGCCUGUGACGAAGCGUGAGUGACGGUAAUGGGUAAAGAAGCACCGGCUAACUACGUG